rnacentral:rRNA from 1 species
UACGUAGGGUGCAAGCGUUGUCCGGAAUUAUUGGGCGUAAAGGGCUCGUAGGCGGUCCAUCGCGUCGGGAGUGAAAAGCUGGGGCUUAACCCCAGUCCUGCUUCCGAUACGGGUGGACUAGAGGUAGGUAGGGGAGAACGGAAUUCCUGGUGUAGCGGUGAAAUGCGCAGAUAUCAGGAGGAACACCGGUGGCGAAGGCGGUUCUCUGGGCCUUACCUGACGCUGAGGAGCGGAAGCAUGGGGAGCAAACAGG